GCUUCCCAGAACCACACGACGCAGCCGUGAGGAUGGGGCCCCGGGGCCCCGGGGCCCCGCCUGUCGUUGCGUCUCUCUGCCGUUUCCUUAUGACGUAAAGGGCCCUCCUGAUGUAGUCCUAGCAGCUGACACUGACACGGGGCUUUUACACACGAUGACACCUAACUAUCGGGACAGGCUUGUGAGACACUGUCGCUGCCACCAUAGAGAAGGGGACACUGAGGGCUGGCGAGGCCGCGUGGCCGUGCUAGAAGGGGAAGCUGAGGCCUGGCGAGGCCGCGUGGCCGUUACAGAAGGGGACACUGAGGAUUGGGAAGGCCAAGAGGUCGUUAAAGAUGGGCAAACUGAGGCUUGGCGAGGUCACGUGGCCAUUAUAGAUGGGGAAACCGAGACUUGGCGAGGUCAAGUGAUCGUCACCAAAGUGGAAACUGACGAUUGGGAAGGUCAAGAGGAAACUGAGGAUUGUCAAGUGAUCGUCACCGAAGAGGAAACUGACGAUUGGGAAGGUCAAGUGAUCGUCACCGAAGAGGAAACUGAGGAUUGUCAAGUGAUCGUCACCAAAGAGGAAACUGAGGAUUGGGAAGGUCACGUGGCCGUUACAGGGGGGGAAACUGAGGCUUGGGAAGGUCACGUGGCCGUUACAGAAGGGGAAACUGAGGCGUGGAGCGGUCAAGUGGCUGUUACAGAAGGGGAAACUGAGGCUUGGCAAGGUCAAGUGGCCGUUACAGAAGGGGAAACUGAGGCUUGGCGAGGUCACGUGGCCGUUACAGAAGGGGAAACUGAGGCGUGGAGCGGUCAAGUAGCCGUUACAGAAGGAGAAACUGAGGCUUGGAGAGGUCAAGUGGCCGUUACAGAAGGGGAAACUGAGGCUUGGCGAGGUCACGUAGCCACUUCAGAAGCAGAAACAGAGGCUUGGCAAGGUCACGUGUCCAUCACAGAAGGGGAAACUGAGGCUUGGCGAGGUAAAGUACCUACUUCAGAAGCAGAAACAAAGGCUUGGCGAGGUAAAGUAGCCACUUCAGAAGCAGAAACAGAGGCUUGGCAAGGUCACGUGUCUGUUAUAGAAGGGGAAACAGGCUUGUCGAGGUCAAGUAGCCAUUACAGAAGGGGAAACUGAGGCUGGAUAAGAUUGAAAUUCAUCUAAUUUAAGUGUCUGAGGUAGGAUUGGGUCCAGAACUUCCUGAUUAAGUCAUGAUGCCUCUUCAGAAAAGAAAGCGCACCCUGAUGUAGGCUCUCUGGGUACCCAGUGCCCCUCAUGGCAGAAGCGUCAUCAGCUAGAGCAGAGGGGCCUCUCUGCCACCUCCACCCAGAUGCUUGGGAGAAAGGGGCUCUUAGUCUUAGGACUGACAGAGUCACUGCUGACUGGCCUGUGAGGAACUACGGGUGGUCUGAGCUCAGCAGAUCCAGUGGCCUCCAUGGGCAUCACCAAGUUAUGAUGUGGCAACAAAGAGCUGGACAGCAAGCCCAACAAAAAAGGGCCCUUUCCCAACCCCUGAGCCUCCAUGGGUCAGUCCCGGCUCCAGGAAGAGCGUCAGAAAUGCUCACUGGGCAUCUCGGAGAGCUGGAGAACCAGCUGAAUGAGGUGAGAUGAAGAAAAAGAGAGAGGAGAGGGAAUUAAUAACCUAUUCAGAACAUGGCACACUAAACGAUAUCAAACAAAGUAUGGUAGCCAUCCUGGUCUUUGUUCUAAGGACCAACAUUUGCUG
rnacentral:lncRNA from 1 species